UAAAGGCCAGCUAUGCAAUAGGGAAGUCUA
rnacentral:piRNA from 2 species